CUAAUACUGCAGUCACACCAUGUCUGAAUACAUACUGAAAAUUACAUAAUGACAAUUUGACAAAUUCAAAUUCUUCCAGAAAGGUUUAUAUAAAAAAUGAAGCCUAUAAUAAGUAGGUAUCUAACUAAGAUUCAGCCAGGCUUUCUAGUGUUUGUGUAAGUAUCGUCACUGACUGAGUGUCAUAAUUUGUCUGAGGAAAAGUGUUGUCAGCGCUGUGUUGAAGGUCUUCUUCUGUAAUCUGACUCCAAUGGUUUCCUCAGCAACAGACGUGGCUUUGUUGUAAUCCUGCAUCUUUCAUGAAGAUAGACUCAGUGAACAGGUGAGACACUUUCUCUUUUCAUGUUGAAGGUACAGUAGCACUGUCUGUUAUGUUUGAAUUUGAUUAUGAAGUACGACAAGAAAUCAAUUCAUUGUUGACUGUGUGUGUAGUGUAUAUAGAGUAAAUUUUUAUUCAUUUAUUUUUUUCUAUUUCAAGGCAUUUGGGACAUUGAAAUCGAGCUUACACAAAGUGCCUUGUCUUUUAUAGGAUGGAAGAGUGUUUGCAUUUGGUCUGUGAGUCGAUGGGUGUACAUGAGGAGGAUGAGGUCAGCGUGGACGAGAUCUGUUCCCUCUAUAAGAGCGUCUUCCUCAUCACCGCCAGCCUGGAUGAGACAAAGAGAGCCAUUUCACAGGUCAGAGGUCAGAGUGGAGGCUUGUCAUGUCCAGCCAGAGGAGUUCUGCAUGUUCAAAAGAAAAAUAGUUUUAGUUGUGAUAUGUUCAGGUCAGAGGGUCAGAGUGGAGGCUUGUCAUGUCCAGCCAGAGGAGUUCUGCAUGUUCUCCUAAUGAUGGAGAAACUAGCGUUACAACAUAGAAGAGCUGUACUGGGAUCUCCAGAUGUUGACGGCUGGUAGAGUCAAUCAUAAACAAAACACACAAUCAUCAACAAUCAACUUCAGCUCCAGACAACAGAAGCAGGAUCCAGAGCAGUUUAGUAUCUUGUGUCUUCAGAACAGAGCCAAGAGACUUUGCACGAGACUCAUUCUUGACGGCGUGUGGAGUGUCCUACCGUCUCUUUCUCAGAGGAUAGCCGGCGUCAUGCGACCGGGCAGGAUCUGUGCCAGCACUAGCGACAUCCUCCAGCUCCUGUAUUACAAAUAUGAGGUCAUCAGAGAGCGACUGUACAAAGAGAUGUUACAGGAUGAAUAUGGUGUUAUUUGGUGGAACUCGAUGUCAGCGUGGGAUCAGACAGAAUGUGUGUGUGAAUUAGGAGUGUGUGUAGAGCUGGCUUUCAGACACAGAGACUGGCUUCAGGUGUGUGGGCUUCCCGGGGCCUUCUGUUGCUACAGGAGCUGUGGUUCUGUGGUCUUGCGAGGCUGUCCUGAGAGUGUUAAAUCUAGAGAUCAGGCUUGGUCAUCUAAACCGAGGGAACAGGCCUGGUCCGCUGUCAUCUUCCUGUCGGAGCUGGAGUCACAUUAUCAAGAUGAGAAGGAAUCGAUCAGCACGCUCAUGAACAGAUUGGGACAGGAAGCUCUGCAUAUUAUAUAUCUCAGUUUGUGUGUUGCUGUGCGGAGAGCCGAGAGAGAGAAUCAGUCCUACACGGCGCUGCUGGUCGCCAGACAGCACUGGGACAGAUGGCCUUAUAUGAGAUGUUCAGUCAGUCAGGAUCUCACCAGGAUCUGGAUUCAGGAAAAUGUGGAUCUCACUGCUAAAAAACAGCAGGGCUGGAAAACAGGAAAUUGUGCACAACAGGCUGUGCUGCAGUUUUUGGUUCUGUGUCAGGAGCAGGAAAGGAAACGAUUGGUGGAGAUCGUUCACAGGCUUUCCCUGAGUGACCUCGAGGCAAACAUUCAGAAAAACAAUGUGGUUCAUGGAAACGCGGUGGAUGAGAGCUGUGUGUGGAGCCUGCAGCAGAUCAAAGCCUCUCUACAGGAAGCACAUGGUUCUUCUACUAGACCAUUCGCUCCAGGGUGUUCUGGGAUAGAUGUCUCAUGGGGCGAAUGUGCCACUCAUUUGCUGACCCAGCUGACGCAAGCACAUGAUGAUGAGGCCUGGACCAUUUUAAACUCUCUGCCAGAUUUGGACCCUGAGGGUCUUUGGACUUUGCUUCGCAAAUAUGAGAGCGAACUUCACAGACCCAGUUUCCACAACCUGCAUGAAGUUUUGCAGUCACGUGGACCAGCGCACGCCAGCAGAGGCACCGCCGCAGUGAACGCUCACACUGAGAGAGAGAGGACUGAACAGGAACGGGAAGAGCUGUCAGAUGGUGAAAAAGAAGAACUCUGCACUGGCUGUGGCGUGGCUUUAGAUCCAGAAGAUACUCCAUAUUUAGAGAUCCUGUGUGUCAGAGACCCAAGAGAUGAAGAGAGCAUGAUGGAGACGAAGGACAGAGACAGAGAGAGAAGAGAGGGAGACAUUAAGAGCAAAGGAGACCCUCAGGAGAUCUCAGUGGAAAAACAAAACUCUCUGAUCACACUGGCCUGGAGCAACCCAGCCCACGCAGAGAAUUACAUUCAGGAAGUGACCUCGGCUCAGAAAGGAGAGGCCGUCUCGAUUGUAAUGCAGGAGGAUUCAGCUGAUAACACGCACGUUCCUGUCAGAACUGUGAACAACUGUGACAGGAAUGUGAACAUUUACACACAGCAGGAGAACAUAAGCUCCGUCUCACUGCAGCCAAGUGAACAAUAUGAAGAAAUGCAUUCAGAUCACACAGAUAAUGUGAAAGCAAAGACACAGAUCCAAGAAGACCAUUCAGGCUUCAUCACAGCUGGGCAGGACAUAAGAGAUGGAGAGUUUGCAUUCAGUGUCACCCAACAGCCCGACCAAACUCCACCCACUGCUCCAAGGCUGCUACAAACACUGACACAACAGAUACUAACACAGCACCAGCAAGUGUUCAUUUCCCAGACACGCAACCCUCUCAAACACUUGAGACCCAUGAGACAGAGGCAUCGCUUCAGGAGCUGA
rnacentral:lncRNA from 1 species